AGAUCACAACCCACCCUCACUCCCACUCUUCUCCCCGACGAAAAGAAAAGAAGAAAAAACGCCAUUUCAGUAUUUCACCGUUUUCUCGAAGAUCUGCAGAGAAAUUCACAGAGAAGAAGAAAAGAAGAAGAAAGCAUCAUCCAAACUCCCCUCAACACAAUUCUCCAUCUCCGUAUCUCCUCCACCACUGUCCUCCCAUGGCGGACGCCGUCGAACCACC
rnacentral:lncRNA from 1 species